AGCGGCGAACGGGUGAGUAACACGUGAGCAACCUGCCCCGGACUCUGGGAUAAGCGCUGGAAACGGCGUCUAAUACCGGAUACGCACCAGAAUCGCAUGGUUACUGGUGGGAAAGAUUUUUUGGUUCGGGAUGGGCUCGCGGCCUAUCAGCUUGUUUGGUGAGGUAAUGGCUCACCAAGGCGUCGACGGGUAGCCGGCCUGAGAGGGUGACCGGCCACACUGGGACUGAGACACGGCCCAGACUCCUACGGGAGGCAGCAGUGGGGAAUAUUGCACAAUGGGCGGAAGCCUGAUGCAGCAACGCCGCGUGAGGGACGACGGCCUUCGGGUUGUAAACCUCUUUUAGCAGGGAAGAAGCGAAAGUGACGGUACCUGCAGAAAAAGCGCCGGCUAACUACGUGCCAGCAGCCGCGGUAAUACGUAGGGCGCAAGCGUUAUCCGGAAUUAUUGGGCGUAAAGAGCUCGUAGGCGGUUUGUCGCGUCUGCUGUGAAAACCCGAGGCUCAACCUCGGGCCUGCAGUGGGUACGGGCAGACUAGAGUGCGGUAGGGGAGAUUGGAAUUCCUGGUGUAGCGGUGGAAUGCGCAGAUAUCAGGAGGAACACCGAUGGCGAAGGCAGAUCUCUGGGCCGUAACUGACGCUGAGGAGCGAAAGGGUGGGGAGCACACAGGCUUAGAUACCCUGGUAGUCCUACCCCCGUAAACGUUGGGAACUAGUUGUGGGGGCCUUUCCACGGUCUCCGUGACGC
rnacentral:rRNA from 1 species